CCUACGGGUGGCAGCAGGGAGGAAGAUUGGUCAAUGGGCGGACGCCUGAACCAGCCAAGUCGCGGGAGGGAAGACUGCCCUAUGGGUUGUAAACCUCUUUUGUCAGGGAGCAACUGGCGCUACGUGUAGCGUUAUCGAGAGCACCUGAAGAAAAAGCAGCGGCUAACUCCGUGCCAGCAGCCGCGGUAAUACGGAGGAUGCGAGCGUUAUCCGGAUUGAUUGGGUUGAAAGGGUGCGUAGGCGGAAUGCCAAGUCAGCGGUAAAAUCGCGGGGCUCAACCUCGCUCCGCCGUUGAAACUGGCGUUCUUGAGUGGGCGAGAAGUAUGCGGAAUGCGUGGUGUAGCGGUGAAAUGCAUAGAUAUCACGCAGAACUCCGAUUGCGAAGGCAGCAUACCGGCGCGCAACUGACGCUGAGGCACGAAAGCGUGGGUAUCGAACAGGAUUAGAUACCCGGGUAGUC
rnacentral:rRNA from 1 species